rnacentral:lncRNA from 1 species
CAGUUAGGGUCAAUGGCCUGGAAGGCAUGAACUCAGACCACCUGUGACUGUUAAUGAAAGAGAAGAUGCCUUCAUUCAGAGAUCACACAUGUCCAAAGCCCUGUUGUGGCUCAACUUUUGCUUCUAUUCAUUAUCUAUUGGAAAAGGCAAGCCUUUUAAAAAUAUGCAUAUUCUAUUCAAGUGGGCAACUCAUUAUCGUUAUUACUCACAUUAAGAGCUAAUGUCCACAAUAGGCCUCAUGCAGGCUAUGCAAAGUCACUGCGCAAGGAAAGAGAAAGCCCCUCAGUAACUGCAUUAAUGGCUUCCAGAGGGGAUUUCUCAGUGGCAAUAGAUGUGUCACCAAAAAAUAAAGUCUGGUCAUCAAAGAUGAUUGAUGAUAAGAAUAAUCAAAAUAAUGUUAAUAAUAAUACCCUCAUAAAAUAAAGGAAAACAUUCCAUUCUCAUGUCUUCUUACUGGGAUGAUGAGUUUCUAUUAUUAAAAUCAUUAUUUCUCCUGUCAAAAACCAGACAUGAAAUAACUCAAAAACUGUCACAAAGAACAUUUAUGUAUUGAUGGAGCCAAAAAGAAAAGUCUAGAAUAUGGGAUGCUGUCCAUGCCUUAGUGUACCUCCACCUAGGGGCCACUGCAAAUAUGGGACAAUCAAGACACUGAGAACUGUUAAGAGUAGGAAGAUACUAAAAACAGGAUCUAUCAAGUUUUGCUGAGGUCAAUUUGAUGUGUUGGAAUGGUACACAUGUUAAUUAAUCAAGAAGCUAUGUUUAUGCAAAUGAAUACAAAAUUUGGAGGCAAAUUAUUAAGUUUUACAGAAUAAAAAUAAAAUUUGAAUUUGAGGGAAAAAAAGCAGUAAUUUUUAUAUCAAUUUAUGAAAAGCAGCUAAUGAGCCAUGUCAGGAGUCCUAACUUGAUUUCUGGAGGCAGAAGAAUACGUAUCUACAGAUAAAGCUGUUAACUAGAUCAUUGGAUUGGAUCAGAUUUCCUAUGCUGGAGCUCACAGGAUUCAGGAACCUUGAGCCCUAUUUAGCAGAGCCAGGAAAUGAACUCAUGUCUGUCUUAACAUAAAGCCUAUGUGCUUUCUGCUUAACUGUGGCCCACAUGCUAAAAUUUCUUCCUGUCAUUCCAUACAAUGUGCUAUUUCACUUAGAAAGAUUUCACAAACCUUUUAAAUGUGGAAAGAGGAGGAAAGCUAGUCCACAGUUUCUCCAUUACUAAUCAUCUAUCUAUCCUGCUCAGCUAUAAAACAAGAAGACGCAGUUCAUGCCCUCAAAAUGCUCUGGUUUGCAUCUAAUCAGAGAUUAGAAUUGAGAAAAUCUUUUCUUCCAAGGAAGGCUGCAGUUUCAAUCAGAAGAUGGCAAAGAAGUGACGUCAAUACCCAAAUUGCAAAUCGUGUUUUAAAACACUCCCCAAAGAACAUUUAAGCGUUAAUAAUCAAGAUCAGGAAUCACUUUUGCAAGUAGCAUGAAAGUUGUGUAAGUGUUAUUUAAACUAGGCAUGUAAGAAGAAAAGUCAUAAGGUUAAACAUUAUUCCCUAUUGAGUCUAGGAGAAGAAAAAAAAGCACUAAACAUAAGUAUAACUUUACUGGGUACCAAGUUGACAGUCUCUGUCCUCUUAGCUCCUUGGAAGAAGGGUCUAAGAUGUGUUUAUCUUUUGAACUCCUGUAUCUAAUUUCCAUUAAAAUUAUUCAGUGAGUGCUAAUUAACUGCCUUCCCUCCAUCUUCUAGGAAUAUGUUAUAGUAGUUAUUUCUACAAUGAUUAUGAGCAUGUACAGUGGGGCUGUUUUACAUUUGGAGAGCGGAGUCGUGAAACUGACGAAUUGCAAAGUCUCCUGUCAGAGGAGAUGCAUUUUCAUUCUCUUUUAAAGUAAGUGUUGCAGGAGGUUAUGAGGGAAAGUGUCUCAGUCUAUCCCUAGUUUGUGGAACUGACUGACAUAAGAUGCUCUUUCUAAAGUGACUCCAUUUUUAAGGUGCGGCCCACUCUCUGUAGAGAUGUAACAACAACAAACCAAAAUAUAUAUUUUCUACUAAAACAUAGGUAGAAAAUUCUUAGUUUAAAAAUGGGCCUUAUUCCAAAAAUCUGUAAAGCAGUUGUUUAAACUGACUGCUUUCUCCCCUAGAAACAAUUGGAUAUAUAGCCAUCAUGUUGAUGAAAGAUUGCACGAAAUUGACACAACUAUUAACAGAGUUAAACUGGGGCCUAAGAUCUAUGUCCUGAGAUAGGACCAAACCCUGCAGAGAGGAAGGGAGGAGGAUGGCAAGUAAAGCUUUUCUUCCUUGUAGCCGAUGGCAGGAUGAGCCUCAAAAGAGUUUCGAAGUAGGCAAAUUGUGUCUCGGGAGUUGUGUUGCUUCACUUUUUAUGUUGCUCUCCUGGUACACGGUGUUCUCCCAGGCCUUGCUGUUCUUCAGCUCCUUUCCCCCAGCCUCACUCUCAGAAAUCAUUUACUUCAUUUUCCUGAAACCACAUCUCAGAAUCUCUUUGUGCAGUGAUUCU